UACGAAGUGGGCUAGCGUUGCUCGGAAUCACUGGGCGUAAAGCGCACGUAGGCGGAUUGUUAAGUCAGGGGUGAAAUCCUGGAGCUCAACUCCAGAACUGCCUUUGAUACUGGAGAGCUCGAGUCCGGAAGAGGUGAGUGGAACUCCGAGUGUAGAGGUGAAAUUCGUAGAUAUUCGGAAGAACACCAGUGGCGAAGGCGGCUCACUGGUCCGGUACUGACGCUGAUGUGCGAAAGCGUGGGGAGCAAACAGG
rnacentral:rRNA from 1 species